rnacentral:lncRNA from 1 species
GGCGUAGUAGGUGUUGACUGCAGGUUUUUUUUUUUUGAGACAAAGGUGUUGACUGCAGGUGCGUGCGGCGGGCAGGGGAAGUGGUGAAUUGGGGUUGAGUAACCUGGGCAUCUCUCGGGACGGGCUCUUAAAAGCCCGACGCUACAAUGUGAAGCCUGAGCCCGGAAAAAGCCCCCAAGAGUUUUUUAGAUUUAUAAGCCCGAGCCCGGCCCGGAUGAAAAGCCCAAAGCCCGGCUGCUCCUGGUAUACAGCACAUUGAACAUCAACGUUUUACAAAACAGCAGAAUAAUAACAUCAUAU